AUAUCAAUUCAAAUCCCACCUCAAUUCAAACCCCACGUCACAUCCAAAUCUCAUAUCAUAUCCAAAUUUAAAUUCACAUCCAAAAAUCAAUCGAUUUUACACUUCGUUUUCAACAUCCAAACAUUGAAGAGCAAACAUCCAAACAUCAAACAUCGCUGUUACAAAUUUAAAUUCACAUCCAAACAUUCAUUUUACACUGCUGUCGUCGCCGUCGGCUCUCCGCCGCUGUCGCUGUCGAACCUCCUUUGCUGGGACUCCUUUGUUUUGCUUGGGGUUGGGGUUGGGGUUGGAGUGGACUCUCCUCCUCGUCGGAGGGCGUCGGCCGGCGAUGGCCGACCUCCCGCAGCCGCCAUGCCUCAUCUCGCUCCACAUGGCCUCCUGAGACCACGACGACGACCCACCCCCCAACCACACCUGCCUCCGGAUCCGCGGCCGCUAGGCGCACCUCGAGCUCAUCAUGCGCAUGGCCGCCGACCGACACGCCGAGCUCCACCGCCUCUCCCACCACCGUGCCGUCAGCCCGCACCCUCCCCGCGGCCCGGCGGCGGCGGAUCAGCGCCCGAGCUCCGCCACCCACGCCCGAGCUCGCCGCGGCCCGUGCCCGCACCAGCCCUCCCUGUCGCCCGUGCCAGAGCACGCCGCCACCCGCGCCUGUGGAUCUGGAUGGAGGGAGAGAGGGAGUGGAGGGAGGAGGAGAUAAGAUAAGGAUGGGUAGGUGGAGUUGAGGAUGGAGGAGAUAAAGAUAAGGAUGGGUAGGUGGAUUUUAAAUGUGACUUUUCAAGGGUCGUUGCGAUGCGGUCUUCGCCAGAUUUUUGUUGGUGGUAGGAUAAAAGGUCUGCCAUAAAAAUAGGGUUAUUUUUGCAAGCGGACUUCUUAAGGCGACUGCUAGCGAAGACCUGUUUACGCUGGCGGCCCGUGACCCCCCCCCCCCAAUUUUCUUCGCUAGCGGUUUUCUCUCAUUGCCGCCAUGAAAAUUUGUUUCCAAACGCCAUGAAAAACCGUUUUUCUAGUAGUGGAAAAUGUUUAUAAAAUAUUCAUGUGAUAUAAUAUACAAAAUGUGCAAGCUCAAGCUGUUUUUUGAAAUAUGUACCUGAAAAUCUAUUGUAAUUAUAAGACUUUCUUUGAAAUCACCAUGAUGAUUCUUAAAGAAAAUUUUUCUAUGAUCUGCGAAUUAAAAUAAUGAAUGAUACAGUGUUAGUUGAAAUUUUAGGACAAUCAAACUUUUGAAUAGAGAUAAAGUCUCAUAAGUAUUUUUUUUAUCUCAAACGUGCUCUUUAUUAACUCAUUUGCUCGGUACGAUCACGAGAUACCAGCACAUUUACAAAUUCUGGGAGGGGUCCGCCCAAACAGAUAGCUGACCCGGGUCCCAACCCACACUAAGACGGACAAUGUCAUGAGCACACCUAUUACAUGAACUCUAUUUGGAGCAGAGCUCUGAUUUGCUUGAAAAUCACACCGCCCGGAGAACAAUCAAAGUCACAUGAUGUCAAGGCACCCACCAGUGCAGAACAAUCAGUCUCAAUAGCAAAGUGAGAGAUGCCAUGGAGUGAAGUGAUCCGAAGAGCACUCAGACAAGCUUCAGCCUCAGCAUUCAUAGCAUCAUGAACUGACCCGAUUCUUCCUGCACCCGCCAGCACUCCACUUCCUUCAUGGUCCCGAAUCACGAAACCCCAAGCACUUGUUUUAUCAGUUUCAAAAAAGGCACCAUCAACGCUUCAGCUCACCCAAAGGAGGAGGUUCCCAGGACUUUUGCACUCGGGGGAUCUCCGGUUUGUUUCAUCAGGGAAAUUUCUGCAACCAUCCUUUAUACUCUGAAAAUUACUUCCUCCGGCGCUCUUCUUUCCUCCUCAGCAUUCACCUUAUUUCAAGCAUCCCACCAGUUCCAGAGUAAGAACACUUUAGUCUGUCUGGUUUUCUCCCCCACUUUCAGGAUGUGUUUGCAAACUUCCGAAGCUGACACACACUGAAGAAGUUCUAGCCGGGUGUCCUCCAAAUCUAGCAUUCUCCAACAAUGCUUCACAAAAUUGCAUUUCAGAAAACAAUGACCUUCAUCCUCAUCCAUCCAAAGACAGACAGGACAUCUAGUAUCCACCUCCAAACCCCUUCUGUCGAUAUUCAGUCUCAAAGGCAGGCUGUUAUGAGCUAGGCGCCAGAGGAAAUGUUUCACCUUUGGUGGGUAAUGCAGGCUCCAAAUUCUUCCCCAUUCUAAUUUAGCUACCCCAGAGCUGACAGAUGAAGAUUCUCCCACCUGUCUUAAUGAAAGGCGUUCACGCUGAUCUUCUAGGGUGUGGUAUGCAGACUUAACCGAGAAUCGACCUCUAGGAUCAAAAUGCCAAGCCGCGGUGUCCUCAAAUCCAAGUCGCACUGGAAUAGCAAGAAUGUUGCGCACAUCUUCUUCCCAGAAAAUAUCCUCAACAAACUUUCUAUCCCAACCUCCUGUUGACGGAUCGAUCAAGUCUGCCACCUUGUUGAGCACCACUCUGUUAGCAAUGAAAUUUGGUAAGUCCUAAAGUCAUCAUCGGCUGAAAUUAGUAUUGGCUUCGGAGUUCUCGAAUCAGCCGAUUGGAGUCAUCAAAUCGCCAGCAACCAUGUUUCCGAUGGAGUCAGAUCAACUAAAAGGAAUUUAUCUAGAAGAGUCUGAGUCCAAAGAGGAUGCGGCAUGGUAAGUUAUCUAUUAAUUAGGCAUAGUUUAGUUUCCUUUUAUCUUUAAGAAAGUGUGUUUAGUGUCCGAUUAGGACUUUAUGUUUUCUUUUUAUCUUUAGAAAAGUUUCUUUCUUGUCUUACAAGGACUAGUAUUUACCCAUGGGUAUAAAUAUGUACACCUAGGGUCAUUGUAAUCAAUCUCAUCGAUCAAUACAACUACUCUCGGCGCAUCGCCACCCUCUUUACCGAGGUUUUUACUUAUCUACCAGCGGAAUUUGGGCACCUGACGUGGGGCUGCAUCGGUUCAGUUCGAUCUCCGACGAAGGGGUAAGUCCUAUGUUCCGUCGGGUCCUAGUGAAUCUGUCAUCUACGUCGGCAUCGUUCAAGGCUGCAUCAGUACAUUCGACCUCUUGGAUUGCUCUGGUUUGGAUGAUAUAUUUGCCUACUUAUUUAUGAUAUGCCUCUGUUAAUCUAAUCUUAGCAUAUCAAUUUAGCUCUAUCGGCUGCUUCUCGAUUUAGGGUUUAUCCCGGUAUCGGCUAAAUCGUGUUGCUAGAUUAGAUUAGCUUAGGCAUCUACCACCCUGAAAAUCAGUCAAGGGCUUGAUUGUCUAGAUAUUGUGUUUCUUUUCAUACUUAGUGCUGCAUCAGUUAAGUUUGAUCUACUAAGUCGUGCUUAGAACCAUAAUCUCUAGCCUGCUUGUUGACUGCCAAUAAGGGUUUCAUCGGGGUUUCAGCCGAUGGAUUAUGUGGACGUUGCAUCGGCUUAUAAGGAUUAUACAUAUAAGUUGGAUAUAGCCGAUGACAACAAAUGUUUCACUGUUUAAUAUAAUCUUAUGGACUUUAUGACAUCGGAUCUCCAGCCGAUGUAUGCUUUAACCUUCGGAUUAAUGCUUAUUCUAUCAUAUCACAUUGUUAGCCGAUUAGUUUAUAUUGGAUAUUAUUGUUAUUUUAUUACAUCAUCAUCAGCCGAUUGCCUUUAUAUCAUCAUCUACAUUGGACAUAUAGCCGAUUGCUUAAACCCUAUCGCUGUCGGCUGGUAUCGGUAUCGGCUAUUAUCGGCUAUCGGCUGGAGUUACUCCAUUGGCUUGUCAGCCGAUUGGCUCAUUGAUCUACCGUUUACAUAUCUUGUCAGUUGCAGGAUCAAAUUGACUGGCACGCCCGCAUCUCAUCAACCUUUGGACCUUCACAGGAGCUAAGCAGAUCUCCUAGACCGGUGUGUUCGAUUUUUUUCGUCAACACACUCCCAUCCUCAGAGUGACCGGUCUCAGCUGGGAUCCAUGGAUCCUUCCAAAUGUCAAUCCGAGAACCAUCACCCACUUGCCAAAUCAAACCUGAACUAAGUGCCUUGACGCCUCGAACGAUGCUUCUCCAUGAAUAGGAAAUUCCCGGCCCUUCCUCCACCUCCUCAGAUUCCCAUUAGCAAAGUACUUUGCAUGCAACACCCUCGCACAUAGUGAGUCCGGGAAUGACAACAGGCGCCAGGCCUGUUGGGCAUGUAUAGCUAAGUAAACAGGUGAACAUCUCUAUACCCCAACCCUCCUUGUGGGUAUCGGGGUCCCGUCACAGGAGUCGCUCCCUGUGGGAUCGGCUUGGGCGUCGGUCCUCAAGCUGCAGCAGAGAACCAGAGAGAGUUGACGGCCGGCGUCAGGGCAAUGAAGACAGGGGGCGUCCACGCAACCGGGAACGCUCGGGUCCUCGAAGCAGAAGCGGUCGGUCCAGAGAGCCAAGUGAGGUUAGACCACCCUUUCCCUCUUCUUCUGCCCCUCAAUUUGGAGUUGGCACAGAUCUUCGUUCUUCUUCCUCUCCCUCUCAGUCUGCUUCCCCCUGCAAGCAUCCAAGCUCCCGCCGCCAUCCGAGCCCGAAUGGGGGCGAAGCUGCAACUCCCUCUGCCAGCCUAGUUGUCCAAGAUCAAGCUAUUCUUCAGGCUGACUCAUGCUUCUGUUCGCAGGGGCAGGGAGAUGUCCUCUCCGUUUUGGAGAGUCAUCUUGACCCAAUGUUGCAUGAGGCGUCCGUGCAGCAUUCCAUCUACUCACCAGACAAUGCUUCUCCCCGAGCGGCUUCUCCUGUUUUUGUACUUUCUUCUUUUGCAGAACAGGGGACUCCGCAUUCCAAUGGGGUGGCGACGGAUGUGCAGACUCAAGCAGGGCCGAUGGCGAGGCAGGGCAACAGGGUGGAAGAGUUCUUCUCUGCUCUCUCGACUCCUCUUCAGCAGCCGCUGCUACCUGCUCCCGACGUCAAUGUUUGUCGUCCAAGCCGUGCUAAGGUGACAAUUCCUGCCAUCUCCUCGGCGCAAUGCCACAGUGAGCGCCUCCUUUGCAAGAAGCGGGCGGGAGCAAAACCUGAAACUCUUGCUCAAGAAAUCCUGUCAAAUAAGUUUGGCAUUUUGGAUGAUCAUGCUUCCUUUGAUGAUAACAUCAAAAAGAUUUAUUUGCAGCGCUACAAGAAGCCUCUCUCUCCAUCCUCCUUGAAGACAAUCGCUGAGCUCGUGGAGAAGGGGGAUGCAAGACCAUCCGUCUGAAGGCUGCAAAGAAGAAGGCGGCGGUCACGCCCCUGUGAGCAGAACGCCCCAGGAUGAAGAUGGGCUGCACAACAACCAUGAAGAGCCUUUUGUGCUUGACCUACUUCUGCCUGUUGCUUGCUGUGUUAAAGCAGAGUUGUAGCAUCAUCUUUUGCCUGUGUUUCUUCCAGUGUGGCUGGUUGUGUUUCGGCAAAAGCUUUGUUCCUUUCCCCAUCAACCAAAGAUGUAGUUGCAGCAGCUCAUGUUUCAAUGUCACAAGACAAUGUCUACCUGUUUAAUUGGAAUGUUAGGGGCCUGAAUUCAAAGGCGAAGCAAGACGCCGUGAAAAUUAUUUUGCAACAAUAUGGUGCUACUAUUGUUUGUCUCCAAGAAACUAAGAUUGCCUCUUUAAAUGAUCGUGUUGUUCUCAACAGUUUGGGCCAAAAUUUUAUGCGGCAAUAUGUGGCCCUUCCGGCGGAUGGCACCAAGGGUGGUCUGUUGUUAGCUUGCAAUGAGAAUUUCUUUUCUCUUUCUGAUGUUGUCCUUGGACAAUACUCUUUGUCUGCAACUGUGACCAUGCGAGAAGAGGGGCUACAGUGGUCAAUCACAGUUGUGUAUGGGCCUCAACUAGAAGCUGAUAAAGUGGUUUUUCUCUCGGAGAUAGAGAGCCUGCAGCCCUCCAUGAAAUCUGAAUGGCUGAUCAUCGGAGAUUUUAAUCUCAUCUAUAGAGCAUCUGACAAAAACAGUGAUCGUCUAAAUAGACGAAUGAUGCAGCGCUUUCGGGGUCUGCUAGACAAAAUUCAGGUUAAGGAGCUUCAACUCCCUGUUCGUCGUUUUACUUGGGCAGGGGAAGGCGCAAACCCUACUCAAACCAAGAUCGACCGCUCUUUUGUCACGACUGACUGGGAUUUGAUGUUUGAGAGUUCCAAUUUGUAUCUUUUGUCUUCAGCAUGUUCAGAUCAUGCGCCUCUCUUUCUGGUAGGAAAUGAGCAAAGAUCGAAAUUCCCAAGCUUCAGAUUUGAAUCUUUUUGGCUCAAAAUUCCUGGGUUCUUGGAAGCGGUGCAAGACUCAUGGCAACGGCCGAUCCUUGCCACUAAUUGCCUAGCUAUUUUCCGCAUCAAACUACGAUGUCUCGCUCGAGAUUUAAAGAGAUGGAGUCGGAGUCAAGUGGGUGAUAUUAAGUUACAACUUGCGGUUGCAUCUAAAGUGGUCUUUCAGCUGGACAUAGCUCAGGAAACUAGGACUUUGUCAGAUGAUGAGCGCCUCCUGGUGUCUAACCUCAAAAAUAGGAUUCUGGCUUUAUCAGUUCUAAACAAAAUCCAGAUCAGACAACGCUCUAGGCAAACCUGGCUCAAAGAGGGAGAUGUUAAUUCAAAUUUUUUUCACAUCAAGGCCAAUUCCAGAAGAAGAAAAAACUAUAUUCAAUCCCUGCACACGCCAUCUGGGAUUGCAAUUUCAGCACAAGACAAAGAAGAGGAACUGCUGCGUUUCUUCAAGGAAAGAAUCGGAUCUCGUUUUCAAAGAACGUCAGGGAUUAACUGGAAUAUGAUGGAUUUGCCCUCCCUUGACCUUGGCGAUUUAGAAGAAGACAUCACAGAAGAAGAACUGAAGAAAACUGUUUUCUCAAUGCCACCCGAGAAGGCUCCGGGGCCGGAUGGGUUCAUUGGUGCAUUCUUCAAAUCAGCGUGGGAGAUCAUUAACGAAGAUCUGUUAUCGACAGUAAGAUCGUUUUUUGAUCUUAACACUUUGCAGAUAAAGGAUCUAAACUCAGCCUUCAUUUGUCUUCUUCCCAAAAAAGAAGAUGCUUUGGGAGCUGAACAUUAUCGACCGAUAAGCCUAAUCCAUAGUUUCUCUAAGAUAAUUUCCAAAAUUUUGGCAAACAGGCUAGCGCCAAGACUGUGCGAGCUUGUCUCCACCAACCAGAGUGCCUUCGUUCGGAAAAGGGCUAUCCACGAUAAUUUCGUCUUCGUCAAAAACAUGGUACAAUAUUUACAUAGAACGAAGAAAACGAGUCUGUUUAUCAAAAUUGAUAUUGCCAAAGCUUUUGACACGGUUUGUUGGCCCUACCUUCUUGAAGUUCUUCGUCAGUUUGGAUUUGGAAUCCGUUGGCUUAACUGGAUUUCCAAUUUACUUGCAACCUCUUCCUCCCAAAUGCUUCUCAAUGGAUCUUCGGGGCAAUCAAUAAACCAUGUCCGAGGCCUUAGACAAGGGGAUCCGCUCUCGCCGAUGUUGUUUAUCCUAGCAAUGGAACCUUUUCACCGAAUUAUUAAGGCGGUUGAAAAUGCAUCACUUCUCUUUCCGAUGGGUGGGAGUUUUGACAGAUUCAGGUGCUCCUUGUAUGUAGACGACGUGGCAGUUUUUGUGAAGCCUCAGGCUUCAGACUUAUCGGUGCUUAUGAGGCUCCUAACUUUCUUUGCGCAAACCUCUGGCCUUCACACAAACAUCAGUAAGACAGAGAUCUACCCGAUCAGAUGUGAAAACAUCAACCUCGUAUCUCUUCUUGCAAAUUUCCCUGGAAUGGUAAAGCAAUUCCCUUGUCGCUACCUUGGCCUGCCUCUCCAUAUCCGAAAGCUAAGGAAAAUUGACUUCCUGCCGCUAAUCGAAAAAAUUGGCUCGCGAAUUCCCGGCUGGAAAGGGAGGUUCUUUACUUCGGCCGGAACAAAAACUCAGGUCCAAUCGAUCCUAAGCUCUAUGCCAAUUCAUCACUUCACCGCAUUGCAAGUGCCCAAAUGGGUGAUAAAAAGAAUUGAUCGCUUUAGGAGAUCUUUUCUUUGUAAAGGAGAAGACCCUGACAAAACCAAUCCAGGCAGCAGUUUAGUCAAUUGGCAGACGGUGUGUAAGCCAAAAAUUUUGGGUGGAUUGGGCAUUUUGGAUUUAGAGAGGUUUUCGCGAGCCCUUCGUCUUCGUUGGCUUUGGCUUGGUUGGAAGGAUGAAAACAAACCAUGGGCUGGCAUGAGCGUUCCCUGUGAUGAUACAGAUAAAAGGUUGUUUCAGGCAGCAACGACAAUUGAGCUAGGUAAUGGCACAAAAACAAGCUUUUGGCAUGACAAUUGGCUACGAAACAACUGCCCAAAAGACAUUGCACCACUGUGUUUCAAGUUGGCAAAAAGAAAGCAAAAAAGCGUCCAACAAGAGCUCCAUAACAAUAACUGGUUGAUCUCUUUCAGGCAAAUAACAUCAGUAGAAGAAAUCCACGAACUUGUUCACCUUGGGAGCAUGCUUCAGGGAGUCCUGCUUAUCCCGCGUCCUGAUGACAUCUCUUGGAACUGGAAUGAAUCCAAAGUUUACACAAGUAAGAGUGCUUAUCUUUUCCAAUAUCAAGGAACUUUUGUUUCCUUAGAUUUCUCUUCGCUCUGGAAGGCGCCGGCUGAGCCGAAACUUCAAUUUUUUGGCUGGCUAGUCCUCCACCAGAAAACUCUUACAGCUCAAAACUUGUUGAGAAGACACUGGCCAUGCAAUUGGAUUUGUAGUUUAUGCACAAGCGCCUUUGAAGACACUAAUCAUUUGUUUAGUGAAUGCUCCUUCUUCAAGGAAGUUUGGUCUCUAGUUACUUCCUGGCAACAUUUACCUACAAACAAUGUUGGCCUCUCUAUCGGAACCUCUGAUUGGUGGGCCCAAAUUGAUUGUGUGCGAUCGAAGGAGCAAAAGAAGGCGAUGAGAGGAGCUCUGCUUACCACUUGGUGGAAUGUUUGGUUAGAAAGAAACAGGAGAAUUUUCAACAACAUUUCAACCUCAGAGAGAGCAGUGGCAUAUAUAGUAAAACAAGAUCUUGAUCUCCGUCGCACGGCUUUUAGGCCUCCAUAGUUUUCUUUUGUUUCGUGUCGUGUCGUGUUUUGUUGUUCUGUUUUCUUUUUAUUUUCGGGACUGAACUUGUUUUGUUCUGUUUUUCCUUCUAAUUAAAUUCCGGCAGAUCUCCUGCCGUCGUUCUCCUAAAAAAAAACCCUCCUUUCUCCUUUCUGCUGCAUAGAUGCUCCCAAGCAAUCCAAUGCAUUUUAUUCUCCCGUUCCUGUUGGGCCCAAAAGAAACGACAGAUGAGUGAAGUAAUUUCGUCGCAUAGCCCUUUGGUUAGGUUAAAACAUGACAUAGCAAAAGCCGGGAUUGCCUGCGCUACAGCUUUAAUAAGAACAUCCUUUCCCGCCCGUGACAGAAGUUUCUCCUUCCAACCCUGAAUUUUCUUCCAAACCCUCUCCUUCAGGUAGCUGGAAGUCUUUGCUUUUGAUCUGCCCAUAUACACCGGUAAGCCGAGAUAUUUUUCAUUCCAAGCCCCCACUCCUAUAUCCAACGCACCCAUGAAAAUCUGUUUAUUAACCUCCUUUAUAUUUCUGCUGAACAUAAUCGACGAUUUCUCCUUGUUUAUUGUUUCCCCCGAGCAUCUUUCGUACAAUGAUAAAACAUUCUGCAGACAAGCCGCACUCCCUUCAUCAGUUUUUAGGAGCAGCAAAGAAUCGUCCGCAAACAACAGGUGAUUGAUACUCGGUGCAUUCUGGCAAACUUUAAUUACCGAAAGAUCUCCUCUUUCUUCUGCUGCGUUCAGAAGAGUUGAAAAACCCUCAGCACAUAUGAAGAAGAGAUACGGUGAAAUGGGAUCUCCCUGACGUAAACCUCCUGUCGGAUUGAUCUGUUCAGUGAACUCCCCAUUCACCUUUAUACGGUAGGUCACCGAUGUGACACACUUCAUCACAAUAAAUACCCAAUUCCUGUCAAAACCCAGCUUCAACAUCAUCUUUUCCAAAAAUCCCCACUCCACCCUAUCAUAGGCUUUACUCAUACCCUGCUUUACUGCGGCAAAACCAACAGAUCCCCUUCUUUUUGUUUUCAGGAAGUGUGUUAACUCAUAGGCCAGCAAAAUAUUGUCCGUUAUCAUCCGCUGUGGUACAAAAGCAAUUUGGAUUGGGGAGAUAAUUUCUGAGAGCAGGGGUUUCAGACGAUUAGCUAGAACCUUUGAAGCGAUUUUAUAAACAACAUUGCACAAACUGAUUGGCCUGAGAUCUUUUAUGCGUUCUGGAUUGGGAACCUUUGGUAUCAGCACAACCACAGUAUCAUUCCAGCUAUCCGGCAUUUCCCCACCACCUAAGAAAUCUUUAACUUCAUGCACAAUAUCAUCCCCCACACAUUCCCAAAAUUGUUUAUAGAAGAGGGCAGGCAUACCGUCUGAACCAGGAGGAGCUUUCAGGUCCCCAAUACUGUCCAGAGCUUUCUUUAUUUCCUCCGUCGUCACCCCUUUCAUCAGUUCAUCAUUCAUAGUAGACGUUACUCUCUUUGGCACAUUCUGGAGAAGCUCAUCUAAGUUCAACGGCACCCCGGCAGUAAACAGUUGUUUAUAGAACUCCGAGAUCAGAGACAGAGAACCCGCCUCAUCUGUGAUCACCUCCCCAUCAUCCCUCCUUAACUUCUUAAUUUUAUUUCUUUUCUUUCUCUCAGAAGCACAUUCAUGAAAAAAUUUUGUAUUUCUAUCACCCUUUUCCAACCAAUGUUGGUUGGCUCUCUGCCGCCAAUAUAAUUCCCUCUGUUCCUCCAAUUUAUCCAGCCUGUAUUUCAACACCGCUUCCCGCGAAGCCGUACUGCUACUGAUUGGAGAACGUCUGUGGGCUUCUAGAGCCUGUUUAGCCUUCUUGAUGCGUUUCUCUAGGUCCCCCAGGAAAUUUUUGCUCCAAUCCCACAAAUUAGCAGCCACUUCCCUGAUAGCGUCCAUAACCUUGCCCCCUCUAGGGCCCACUGACAACUUCCAUGCAUUCUCAACUAUGGGAGCGCAGUGUUCCUCCCUCGCCCAUCCUGCCUCAAACCGGAACCCAGGUUUUGAUCUGCCGCCAUUCCAUAUAACUUCAUUAGAUGUUGUCACAAUGACUGGGUGAUGGUCAGAGUGCCUUGGAUCACCCUUCCUAACUCGGAAACUAGGAAAACGACAACACCAAUCAGAAUCGGCCACCGCCCUAUCCAGCCGUUCCCGAAUGUAACCAUCCCGAACACACCAAUUAUUCCUCCAGGUGAAAGGAUCACCCGUGAAUCCCAGGUUCGACAAGCUACAGCAAUCCAGCGUCUGACGGAAACGAUCCAUGCAACUCUGGGCCUUAGCGUGACCUCUUUCCUUCUCCCAACUGAAAAGGACUUCAUUGAAAUCACCCACACACAACCACAGCUCCCCUUUCGUUGCAUUUAGCGUCCGGAGAGCUUUCCACGUGAGAUCCUUUUUGUCUGACCUCGGUUCACCAUACACCCCCGUAAACCUCCACCAGAAACCAUCAUCUUCCAUCACAUCCACAUCCAUGAACAGUCGAGACACUGUUCGUAGCCGCAAAUUUAUUUCCUUUUUCCAAAAGACUGCCAAACCACCACUCUUCCCCUGGCAAUCCUUCACCACCAGAUUCGGCAUUCCCAAUUUCCACCGAAAACAUUGGAGUUUAUUCGUAUCCAUCUUUGUGUUAGACAAAAAUAGAAUAUCGGGGUCAUCCUCCUUCUGAAGAUUCAGAAGGCCACGAACCGUCGGGCCGUUCCCCAACCCCCGGCAGUUCCACGCUAUGAUCUUCAUUGGGUAUUUGUUAAUGCAAAAACACGAGGCCUGGGAGAUCUGCUUAACUCCUGUGCAGGUCCAAAGCUUGUCUUGAGGUUCGUGAGCAUGCCAAUUGAUUUGAUCCUGCAAUCAACAAGAAGGAUAGACAAAAGAAACCGCGGUUAAAUCCAUAAACGAUAGCCGAUCGGCUAAUUGCCGAUGACGUAUCAUUUAUCUUUGAGCCGAUGUCAUCUUUACAUCGAUCGGCUUAGCUAGGAGUGAAAUAAGAAUAAAGCUAAAUUUAUCUGAUCGGCUGUAGGUAUCAACGGUUUGUAAUCCUUAUGUCGAUAUAUAUUUAAAUCAAGUGAUUGGGAUAGAUCGGUCGCCGUGCCGAGACAGUAUAAAUCACUUAGAUCGAAAUAUAUAUUAACGAGAAGAUUGCAAAUGUUCAUAACAUAGCCGAUCAAAGAGAUCUAGCAUGUACCGGCUAAUACUCCGAUACCACUCUAUACUAGGAUAUCAAUGCAAGUGAAAUAUAUUAAACAAGAAGUCUAAUACAUCUAAAAGCAACCAAGAUCUUAAUAUAAAGGACAUAUCUAGCAUAUCAUUAAGCACGUAAAACAUAAAGCUAAAUCAGGUAAGAUCGGCUGAAACUCCGAUGCUACUCUAAUUGGCAUCCAAAGACAGGCUAGAGCUUGAGAUUCUAAUCAUGACUUAUAAGGUCAAACUCAACUGAUGCAGCUAUAAGUAUGAAAAGAAGAACAAUAUCUAGACAAUCAAGUCGUUGGAUGAUUCAUAGAGUGGUGGAUAUUCUAUAUAAUCUAUGUCAACGUUGAAACCUAACAUGAUCGGCUGUCUCCUAGCGACAGGUGUUAGCCGAUUGAAAGCUAGAUAACAAUAUUGCCAAAGAUUAUAUAUAAUAUAUGAUAACUCGACAACUUACAUAAAUCAGAUUAGAGUAUCAUAAUGAUGGAAGCACUAAUCCCGAUAACGCAAGCCGCCAUAACAAGUUUUACCUCUAGUUGAAGAUUGAAACCGAUGCAGCUCAACCCGAAAGCAAGAACUCGUCGAAAGUAAACGAAAGCAAAAGGUGGCGAUGCGCUGAGAUUGUAUUUGAACAUGUGUUAUCGAUUACAUAGGUCUCAGGGUCUAUUUAUACCUGAGAUUACAAAGCAUGUCCUUGUCGGACACGACUCUUAUCCCUAACAAACUCUAAAAUACCAUAAGUCUUUGCGGCAGACUUUUGCCUACACUUAUCUCUAAGGAAAUUACAUAAAAUAUCCUAAUUAAUAGAUACAAUUGCCUCAUCAGGACUCAAUCCGUGUGCGGCAAUUCAGAUGAAGUACUUUGAUUCAACCCGAUGACCCACACCGAGUCAUAUUGUCGUAAUCGGCUCAAUUGGCUAACCUCGUCCGACUCUGAUUUUGUCAAUCGAGGUUGCAGCUGAUUCGGACUUAGCCGAUUCUUGCUCUGUUUCCGAAACGAUCUUGGCCUUGGACUCCGCUUCGAUCCGAUCCUCAUCUCCGAUACUUAGAUUACCAAAUUUGGUUGUUAACAGUAAUGCAGGACUGGUCUGCCAGUCCCGCUAAAUUUGUAGGCAUCCUGUUCUUCUCAGAUUCCACCGUCACUUCCUUCACCUUCUUCGACUGAUCCACCUCCAUGCAUUGAACAUCAUCAAUCUUCCUCUUCUUCUCCUGUGUUUGGGUUAGGGACAUGACUCCCGAUUUCAGCUCAGAACACGACAUUCUCUUGAACUUCUUAACAGACUUGUCCCAAUUUUCUCCAAUAGUCACCUCCUUCCCCCCAUCCACGGACUUAACAGGAAGAUCAACAUGCACAUUCUGCUUAGUAGACAUUGGCAUGACCUGGGUCCUGCCACCCCCCCUUGCCCGACAAAACAACUCCCUUCCCACUAGCAUUAGCGUCCACGUGAUCACUCUGCAUAGCUUACAUGGUACUGUUUUACCCCACUGCUCCUAUACUAGCAUCUUCCUCUUCCCUCGCAAUUUUCCUCACCUCCUCAAUCACCGCCUCUCUAAAGAGAGCCUUCUUGGAAUUGUGUGUAAGAGCCUCGGACGCCUUGAGUUUUAACGGGCUCUGGACCUCCGCCUCCUCACCAGCCAUCUUCUCCUUCUCCUUCUCGCCUGCACUUCCUAUCGAGAGCUUCCGCCAUGAUGGGCCAUCGCUGCGAGAUUUCUCCCCACUUCCCCUACUACCAGAACUUCCACCCGGUCCUCGCCCAGCCGAAAAGUUACUCCUCCAUUGGCCACUACCCCGUGACUCAGAGAACUUGCCACCCGAUAAAGCAUCAUUUCUUCUCUUCUGAGGGAUGAUUCUAAGAUCUUUCCCGUAUGGUUGCUUCUCAUCCUUCCCCAACACAACAUCACAAAAUUUCUCUGUAUGCCAAAUUAUACCACAAAUGUAAUAAAAGUCAUGCAAGAAUUCAUAUUAUAUGGGACACCACCUCUCCUCCUCCUUCUUGCCCACUAGAACCGUAACACUUCUCAUCAAAGGUUUACGGAUAUCAAGCUGAAUCUUUACUCUCAAAAAUCUACUCGACAUUGGAUCACUAUCCUCCAGGUCCACCUCCAUGACUUCACCAAUUUCCCCUCCAAGCGCCUCCCCCACCAUCCUGUUCAUCAUCCCUCAGGGAGGUUUGUG
rnacentral:lncRNA from 1 species